CCUACGGGAGGCAGCAGUCGAGGAUAGUCUACAAUGGUCGAAAGAUUGAUAGUGCGACGCCGCGUGAACGAUGAAGCAUUUCGGUGUGUAAAGUUCUUUUCUAUGCGAGCAGAGGUUUUAUGGUGAAUAAUCAUAGGGCUAGGAUAUUAGUAUAGGAAUAAGCCACGGCUAACUCCGUGCCAGCAGCCGCGGUAAUACGGGGGUGGCGAGCGUUGUCCGGAAUUACUAGGCGUAAAGGGCAGGUAGGCGGAUAGAUAAGUUAAUCGUUAAAGACCGGCGCUCACCGUCGGGGCUGCGGUUGAUACUGUUUAUCUGGAAUCGAGUGGGGGAAGACGGAAUUCCUGGUGUAGCGGUGGAAUGCGCAGAUAUCAGGAGGAACACCGAAGGCGAAGGCAGUCUUCUACGCUUGUAUUGACGCUAAACUGCGGAGGUGCGGGUAUCAAACAGGAUUAGAUACCCUGGUAGUCCGCACAGUAAACGAUAUUCACUAGGUGUUGGCGGGAUAGACCCGUCGGUGCCGUAGCUAACGCGAUAAGUGAAUCGCCUGGGGAGUACGAUCGCAAGGUUGAAACUCAAAGGAAUUGACGG
rnacentral:rRNA from 1 species